ACAAAUGAAGAAAAUAUAAUUAAAAGUUGGUGUGCUUGUAAUUAAUUUUCUAAUUUCGGCUGGUUGGAUCCUAUAUAAAACAGCAAUUGAUUCAAGCCAAUUUCAAACACAAACUUUGUCUCUCUAAAAUCCCCACACUCAUGUUUCUCUCUCUUAAUAAUCAGCAUCUCACUGUUUUUCACCAUUCAAAAAGGACUAAAAACAUCAUCACCUUAUUCAACCAUUUGGAUUCAUUACUGUUUUUUUUCUCUCUUAUAAACUCUUUGGUACUUACUCUAUUUUUGUAGUUCGAUUUCUUUUUUUAAUCGUCUCAGGCUUUGUUGUUCUCCGUGUGUGGGACUGACUGUGGGUGUGUUUCUCCUUUUAUAAUCUCAUCUUUUAAUGUUUUGGGUCUUUUUUUUGUCAGUGAAUCAUCGUGUUUUAAGCUUCUCUUUGAC
rnacentral:lncRNA from 1 species